GAACGCGAAGAACCUUACCAGCUUUUGACAUGUCACGUUUGGUCGCCAGAGAUGGCUUCCUUCAGUUCGGCUGGCGUGAACACAGGUGCUGCAUGGCUGUCGUCAGCUCGUGUCGUGAGAUGUUGGGUUAAGUCCCGCAACGAGCGCAACCCUCGUCCUUAGUUGCCAUCAUUCAGUUGGGCACUCUAGGAGACUGCCGGUGAUAAGCCGGAGGAAGGUGGGGAUGACGUCAAGUCCUCAUGGCCCUUACAGGCUGGGCUACACACGUGCUACAAUGGCGGUGACAAUGGGAUGCGGAGGGGCGACCCCGAGCAAAUCUCAAAAAGCCGUCUCAGUUCGGAUUGUACUCUGCAACUCGAGUGCAUGAAGGUGGAAUCGCUAGUAAUCGUAGAUCAGAACGCUACGGUGAAUACGUUCCCGGGUCUUGUACACACC
rnacentral:rRNA from 1 species